AUGUUACUUAGGACCUUUUGAAAAGUUAAGCGAGAAUUAUGUCAAUCAAUUAUUAGACUCGUAGACUCCGAGAUCAAAAUACAGUGCGGGGCUCGCGUAUACUUCGUUUUCGGAAACUAAGGCCUGGUUAUUGUUAUUCUACCAUUUCUCCUACAAAUACGCUAUUCAGCAGGAUGUGCUGAGUCCCAAUUGACUAUCGCAGAAACAACGAGUAGCAGCAGCGAUUUCUCCACUACCGGUUGAGAGGAUUAUGGAGAUUCAGCUGCGCAGGAAGCAGGACAAAGUCCGAAGGAUGGAGACCAAAUUGAGGUAUACGAGCGGUAUGAACAACAAACGCAGACUACGGCCUACUACAACGAUAUAUCUAUAGUUCGAGUUCAAGUACGGCUGCCACGAUGAAAACAACAAAUGGAAGGUUUACGUGGCGCCAAGGAACAAUAUUUCAGGUGACAUGGUGGUUUGGUCGUUUCGAGUAAUAUAGAUCCGUUGAUCAGUCAGUGGAACUGAAGGGCUUCAGAUAUCAGCGACGAGAGCUAAACAUUGCUGAACGCCGUCUACAACGUACUCUCUCAAAUUUUAUGCCUUCGACUAAUACCUAUUGCAAGAGAGUUCGUGGGGCAGCAUCAGGCGGGAUUAUGGGCGGACCAGACCAGGUGUUCACCGUACGCCAGAUAUCGCAGAAAUGCCUUGAAUACAAUGUACCCACGCAUCAUCUAUUCAUCGACUUCAAAGCCGCUAACACACGAACGCGGAUUUCCGGAUAAGCUGAUACGGUUGAUCAAGGACGAUGGAUUGGCUGAUGUGCAUAGUUAGAG